rnacentral:lncRNA from 1 species
AUUUUUCGUCCUUUUUGCUGGUGCGUGUGCAGCGACUUGAGUGCAUGUGACGCCUUUAACGGUGCUUGAGUCCACUUUCCGUAUUUCUCAUCCUAGUUCCAAACACCCCGCUCACACCCCAGUUGCUCUUCGUUGGCAUGCUCGCAAUUGAGUCCUCGCAGUUUCUCCAGUUACACGACUUCGUCUAGGCACUCACUAGAAGUCUGUGUUUGCAGCAUUUACCCCAUCACUGCUGCAGCACGGGUCGACUCACCGGCUCGAGCUUUACGGCAGUCACGUUAGUCGCAAAACGAACCACGACAAUAAUGCCUCGCAAACUUCUGAAGAAGGAAGAGCAGGGGUUCGUCAAGACUCCCUCGUAAUGAAACAACGCGUCUGGACAUCACAUCAGAACGAAAAAUGCGGAGCUGUUGGUUGAUCCUGGCAGCUACAAGCCGCUAACCAGGCCUGGAGCCAAAUAUUGUGCCCGCUAGUCCACGUGCAAUAUCUUUCUGUUCAGUUCCCUUCUGGUAAUGUUGUACUACAAGAUGUUAACAGACUCAGGUGCCCUUUCUCCCGUUCAAAGUGUCUCCCAUUGUUUGUCGGAUUCAUUCGACUGGCCGGAGUAACAUGCCACGGUGUACCAAUGGAACCGGCCACCUGUAGUAGUACAAGUGUACAUUUUUCAUGGAUAUGCAAUUGCACGUGAACAAAUUCGACUACCACCUCCUACAGUACAAUCGCCGUUUCAAAGUCUUGGUGCGCCGCUGGGACUAGAGGCGUUUGUCGGGUGGUCGAAAAUCCGAGUCUUCAGCCGAACUACAGAAGUUCCGUUCUCGGAACGUACGAUCAGUGGAACAUAUGAAGUGACUCAAGGCGGAAGGAAGCAUCAACAGGAAACGGGGAGCAAUAACGAACGGUCCACCGAGGUUCUUGCCCUGCUGUAAGUUCCGCUGUGGUCGAGUGUCUGGGAGAAUAUGUGUGCAGCAAUUCUCGCUAGCGCACCCACGACAC